rnacentral:lncRNA from 1 species
GUUAGGACAAAAACUGAAGAAGCAGUGCCCUUCUGCAGUGUCAAACCUCUGUGCCACCACCAUCAGCACUGCUUCCCAAGCCUGAGUAUCAGCAGUUGUGUGGUAUCUCUGCAUCCCUCAUCUGCUGGAAUUCAGCCAGCAUGUGCUGCGGCAGCACCUUGUAUUCUUGUUGUGUACGCCUUGAUAAGGGCUGGUGGAUCUAAUCUCCUUACAUCAAAGGUGGCUCUGAUGCAGGCUGCUAACUCAUUUUGAGUGCAUUUGAGGCCGUGGCUAAGUAUUUUAAGACUCACUCCUGUACGAUAAAGGCUGUUUGUGACCACAGAGCAUCACAGAUUUGCUGAAGAGCUUUGUCUACCUCAAGUAAUACAUUAAUGGCCUCCUAACAUUCAAGGAUGAUCAACAUUUUGAUCCUCUUACCGGUGAACUGGGUCUUGGGAAAAAAACUAUUGGUAAGUGGAUAUACUGAUUCAUAAGAAACCUGAAACCACCUUUAGAAUACAUUUAAGAUGUUGCCUCAGAGUCACCCUAUCCACCUGAAAAUAAUAUGGAGGAUUAGACAUAAAAGCUAGGACUUUAUUUAUCCGUGAGCUGAGGUAAUGGCUACUAAAAAUGUGCAUUUCAUUGACAGAUGACUUAGUGAACGUGAUGACAGCAGCUCAAACGUGGCUCCAUUAAAGAUAAAAGUAACAUGCUUAAACCUCAUGAGAAGGGAUUUUUUCUUAUUGGUAGAGUAUGUAUGUCAAGACCUUUAGAAACCUAAGAACCACAUAAUGAGAAAAUAACGAAGAAUCAGCACUCACAGAAACACAGUUUAGAGGAAACUAAUACAGGAUGAGUACAAAAUGGUUAUGAAGUCAUUCACCAGAAGCACUGAUCGACAGAGAAUUGUUGAAAUUGAAGGCUGUAUAAGAGUAAGUCUGGGAUUUCUCAACAUUUCCAUUACCAACCUAAAAGGUGGAAGAUGAAAUACGCUUAUUCGUUGUUGCAGAUAAUUCCAAGCUAACUGAGGGUGCCAGCUCACUGACGAUGGGACAGAAACUCCGAUGAUCUUGACUAAUUGCACAGAUAGUCUUGGGGUCAGGUUUGUGACACAGCAAAAGAAAAAUUGGAUGAGUUCAAAAAGGAGAGAUCAGAAUAAUCAGAGCUCAAAAGACUGUGAAAUAAAAAAGACCGUGAAAUAAAAAAGACCUGUAUGGUUUAGUCUAGAGAUGGCUACAGAAAAUAUGCCAAGAGAACGAUGGUUAAACACUGGCAUAGAAGGUGUGAAAUGGAUGUCUUUAGGAACAGGCUAACAUCUGUCCAGCAGAACAAAGGGACAGCAGGUCAAGGGGGCACAGGGUGAGGCUGAAUCAUCUCCAAGCUGAUACUGUUUUCCAGGAUACAGUCAUCUCGCAUCUUCUAAAGAUUUUAUUGGAAGUAGCUGUGUUUGGAAGAAUUGUACAAAGACCAGCAUUUCUCAUUCAGCAUCCUCGGAGCUGAGUGAACCUGAGCUUUUUGGUCGUUAGAAUUUCAGUAAGUCCGCGAGCUCUCAGAGUUCACUGCGCUAAAGCUAAGGCAGUCAGACAGGCUGCUUUUAUAAUGCUUCCAUUGAAUAAAUUUGCAAAGCUGCUACCUAGAGUCCACAUUAUUGCUCAGCGCCACUUUGUUAAUUUGGAAUCCAGAUCUGGUGACUGAUUUAGGAAAACAGUUCAGCUAAUCCCCAGUGAAUAGAAAUCCUCAGCCUAAGAUUGUAUGGCUCACC